GGUUAAACAAAAAAGAGCGUAGGGCGGAUGCCUUGGCACUAAGAGCCGAUGAAGGACGUGAUAAGCUGCGAUAAGCUGCGGGGAAGAGCAAAUAUCUAUUGAUCCGCAGAUUUCCGAAUGGGGAAACCUACUGCAGAAGAGCUGCAGUGACCGUGCGUGAAUCCAUAGCGUACAGCCGGGAACCCGCUGAACUGAAACAUCUAAGUAGGCGGAGGAAGAGAAAACAACAGUGAUUCCGUAAGUAGCGGCGAGCGAACGCGGAAGAGCCCAAACCGCAGUGCGUGCACUGCGGGGUUCGGACUGCACACGGGAAUUGAAUCGUUACCGGAAAGACUUUGGAACAGUCUGCCAGAGAGGGUGAAAGCCCCGUACGGGAAAACGAGUUAAGACCCAGCAGGAUCCAGAGUACCACGAGACACGUGAAACCUUGUGGGAAGGCGGGGGGACCACCCCCUAAGGCUAAAUACUACUUAGUGACCGAUAGUGCAUAGUACUGUGAAGGAAAGGUGAAAAGGACCCCGGGAGGGGAGUGAAAAAGAACCUGAAACCCUAUGUUUACAUGCAGUGGAAGUGCGAUACAUGAACGCACAACCGCGUACUUUUUGUAGAACGGUCCGGCGAGUUGCCGGUGCUGGCAAGGUUAAGGACUACAGGUCCGGAGCCGAAGGGAAACCGAGUCUUAAUAGGGCUUACAGUCAGCAUCGGCAGACCCGAAACCGGGUGAUCUAUCCAUGUCCAGGUUGAAGUCCCCGUAAAAGGGGAUGGAGGACCGAACACACAUCCGUUGAAAAGGGUGGUGAUGAGGUGUGGAUAGGGGAGAAAUUCCAAUCGAACCCGGAGAUAGCUGGUUCUCCUCGAAAUAGCUUUAGGGCUAGCCUCGACUUAGUCAGACGGAGGUAGAGCACUGAAUUCCUGAGGGGGCGUCAAAGCCUGCCAAGGGAUAUCAAACUGCGAAUGCCGUCCUGAUGAUGGUCGGGAGUCAGACUGCACGAGAUAAGUUGGGCAGUCAAAAGGGAAAGAGCCCAGACCUACAGCUAAGGUCCCAAAAUACGUGUUAAGUGGAAAAGGAUGUGGGAUUUCGAAGACAGCUAGGAUGUUGGCUUAGAAGCAGCCACACAUUCAAAGAGUGCGUAAUAGCUCACUAGUCGAGAGGUCCUGCGCCGAAAAUUUCCGGGGCUAAAACACGAUACCGAAGCUUAGGAAUGUAGUAAUACAUUGGUAGAGGAGCAAUCUCAGAGUGCCGAAGCGCUACCGCAAGGAAGCGUGGAGUUCUGAGAAGAGAGAAUGCCGGAAUGAGUAGCGAGAAUGAUGUGAGAAUCAUCAUGGCCGAAUAUCCAAGGAUUCCAGGGUAAAGCUGAUCUGCCCUGGGUAAGUCGGGACCUAAGGCGAGGGAGAGAUCCGUAGUCGAUGGACAGCAGGUUCAUAUUCCUGCACCUGACAUGAUCAGAACUGUGGGGACACAGGAACAAAACCGGACCCGGGAGAGCAAAGACCGGGCGAAGCGAAGUUAGGAGUGGGGCAGGCAAAUCCGCCGCACAAUCCGAAAGCGUGACAGGGAGCGAAAUAUAAGUAGCGAAGCCGGUGGAGGGACUGUCGAGAAAAGCCGCUAUUGUAUCAUGUCAGCCCGUACCGCAAACCGACACAGGUGGAUGAGGAGAGAAUCCUAAGGCCGGCGGGAGAAGCAUUGUUAAGGAACUCGGCAAAAUGACCCCGUAACUUCGGGAGAAGGGGUGCUGCAGAGAUGCAGCCGCAGAGAAAAGGCUCAAGCAACUGUUUAGCAAAAACACAGGUCUAUGCGAAACCGUAAGGUGAGGUAUAUGGGCUGACGCCUGCCCGGUGCUGGAAGGUUAAGAGGAGAGGUUAGCGAAAGCGAAGCUUUGAAUUUAAGCCCCAGUAAACGGCGGCCGUAACUAUAACGGUCCUAAGGUAGCGAAAUUCCUUGUCGGGUAAGUUCCGACCCGCACGAAAGGCGUAAUGAUUUGAGCGCUGUCUCAACAAUGCACCCGGUGAAAUUGAAGUACCAGUGAAGAUGCUGGUGACCUGCGCCAGGACGGAAAGACCCCAUGGAGCUUUACUCCAGCUUGAUACCGGGAUUCGGUGUUACUCGUACAGGAUAGGUGGGAGGCUAAGAAGGAAGGACGCCAGUCUUUCCGGAGCCGCUGUUGGGAUACCACCCCUGUGGCACUGGAUUUCUAACCUACAUCCGU
rfam:Lachnospiraceae bacterium ACC2 genomic scaffold supercont1.2, whole genome shotgun sequence.